GAGCGCCACCAUCACGUGAAGGGGGAAGUUGUAUCGGGGCAUGAAUGGGGACGGCCGCCGCCAUAGUAACGGCAACGCCGCCAUGGGAGCAAGGCAGGACCUCGAGCCUGCUCCCGGCCUGGUCUCGGUGUCGGUCUCGUGGUGUCCCGAGCCCUGUGGGCUGCCCGGCCUCGUGCCGUUGCUCGCUGCGCUGCCUAAAGUAACGGAUGUGAAGCACCACGUGUGGGAGCCCAAAGUUUGGGGUCCUUCAGUCCCGCUGCCCACCGAGCACAAAUACACCGUGUUGCAUUAGACCAGGAAGGGACCCAUCACCUCGUGAAGGUGUAGCAGGAGUAAUGGAGGAGCUGAUGCUAAUCCCAGGUGACUAAGAGCAGGAGAGAGUGCUUGAAUGCCUUAAAGCUGAGUUACCAGUGUAACUGUCCUGAAUGAAGGGGAUUUGAAUUAAUGAGGGUGGCACUUGGACACAGCAGCUAACAGAGCUGUGAUAGGGACAGCAGAGUAUUGCAGCCUUCUCUGCCAGCAUUUACCUCGAGGCUGCUUGAAAACCUAUAUACUGAAUGCAGGGAUGGAUGCGUCCUUCAGCCUCAGCAUCCUUCAGCUACUGCAGCUUUUCAUCCAUUUAUAUGAAGAAGCAUUUCAGGGAGAAGCACCAACCCUGUUUAAUUAAGAAUAAGAAACGGAGAGUGAGUCUUUCCAGCUGAGAUGCAUGAGGACAUGGGAAGGAAAGAAGCUGAAGGAAUGAGCAGUUCCCUCAUGGUCUGCCUUUGGGUAACUUGGAGCUUACAGCUGUGUAGUCACCAGCCUGAUAGGACACAUUUGUUAGUUAUCUGGCUGUGCUGCUAUGGACAAAAUACAUCCUAUGUGUGGACCCUGAGGUGUCUCUGGGCAUGAAUAACCUCUGUGGUACAAGAAGAGACAUUCUGGAGCAGGAAUGCCUUCUUUUGGUCCGGGAGCAGCUCCCAGAGUCAUGGUGACAAGUGGACAAGAACUUCUGUGCAGGAUGAUUUACCGGUGUCCUUAUUGGCAUCUGAAGAAGGACAAGGAAAGCUUGGCCUUCUGCUGCUGCAGCAUGACAAACCACUGCACACCAUCACCUCUUGUGUCCCCAGCUCAGCAGAAAGAUAAGGGCCUCUCCAGGGCUUUUGCUGCCUCCACCACCAUCGGUCAACAUCCAGGAAGGAAGACGUUUCUAAGGAAACCACGGAGGCUUUCCACCAAGGUGGUUGCAUGAAAGUGCUGAACUGGUGAGAGUGACAAAAAGCAGUUCAUUGGAUAAUGUAGAAAAAGGGCAUGGACAAAUCUUUACCUGAUUGUCUGGAGCCAGCACAGAAAGGCAUAACUUCAGGCUUCUUAAGAUGUACAGAUGGGAACCUCCUGGCAGCGUGUGCAGAAAUGAUCAGCAUCCAUUGUCCAGGGUUUCACAGGAGGGAAUCUGGUGCUAGGAGCCAUUUGGAUGAUGCCAGCCUGCUGAACACAUUCAGAUGUGCCUCCAUCCACUAUGGAAAUCCAACCUAAGCCUGCUUUGCUGUGAGUGAUUGCUGUGCCCAUAGCUCCUGCCUCCUGCCUGAGCACUGCUGUGCAUUUACCAUCGAAUCCAGCACUCAUCCAUCUCCCCUUUGCUUUUCCUUAUGAUGUAUUUUGGAGAGUCCAGCUGACUUCACGUAGCAGUAGGCAUUCCUGUGGAGAGUAGAUGCCCUGGUAUAUUAACUUUAGCAUUCUUCUAGCUGUUUUCAAGGGGAUUUGUUUGUUUGUUUGAAUAUAUGUUUAUUUGUUUUCUUAUAUGUUAUUUAUAUGUUUUUUUAAGUAUUUGCAGGGCUGAGUUUAACAAACAAAACCAUUUCUCAAUUCUGAUCUUCCACUGGAAGCAAUGGGGAGGUCUCGUAGCUCUUUGGUUUGGAAGGGCAUCAAGAAAUGACAAAGUGUGUUUGUUGAAAGGAUAGAGCCCAACAUCUCUACGAAGGCAGCUCUUUAGGCUCCAGUUGUAGCAGCACUGACACAGGAACUUGAGCAACGUCAAGUUGUGUAGAUUGGUGUAAAUUCCAUGUGACUGGUGAACAAAUUGACUUCUGAAUUGGGUGGUUUUCCUCUUCCCACAAAUGGCAUUUUGCCUUCUCCAAAAAUCACUUCUCAUUAAAUCCUCCCACUGAAACGUGCUCAGUGUUUAAUAAUAGAUGGAUUGCAUGUUUAAAGCGGUUGAUUUACUUAAAUUAGCUCUGCUGAGAUUUAGCAAUUUUGUGACAAAUAUCUUUCUAGCUGAACAUAAAUAGGAUCCAGGGAGUAAAACUUGUCAGGCCUUGUCAUGAUGGCAGGAAAAUGGAAUAAAAGUCAGAACCAGGCCCAGCUUUUUCAGGUCCAUUUAGGACAUUUUGUGGCUAAACUUCCAUCAUGCUUUGUUCUGUUUGUUGGGCCUUUUUGUUUUUGGUUUUUUGCUGGUUUUUUUUUUUUCACCCCAGAAGCCAGGAGUGAAACAUGUUGGUAAAAAGGAGGAAAUCAAGCCUGGAUUACAGAAACAGAUGCCAUAUUUUUCCCAGUCUGGCAAAUGACCCUGGAGUAUAUGGUAAAAAGUGUGAAUAAAACGACACAGAUCUCGUCA